UACGGAGGAUGCAAGCGUUAUCCGGAAUGAUUGGGCGUAAAGCGUCCGCAGGUGGCUGUGUAAGUCUGCUGUUAAAGAGUGAGGCUCAACCUCAUAAAAGCAGUGGAAACUACACGGCUAGAGUGCGUUCGGGGCAGAGGGAAUUCCUGGUGUAGCGGUGAAAUGCGUAGAGAUCAGGAAGAACACCGGUGGCGAAGGCGCUCUGCUGGACCUUAACUGACACUGAGGGACGAAAGCUAGGGGAGCGAAUGGG
rnacentral:rRNA from 1 species